rnacentral:rRNA from 1 species
AGGUGUGAUCAUACCAGCACAAAUGCACCGGAUUCCAUUAGAACUUCGAAGGUAGGCGUGCUUGGGUGAGAAUAGUACUAAGUUGAGCUUUGUCACAGGACUUCCACAGGCACAGGAA